rnacentral:lncRNA from 1 species
CGUUUCCAACCUAAACAGUCCAGAGAUUCUGCAAUUCUAAUUCUCUUAACUUCAGAGAAUGCAGUGGACAAAAACCAAUCCAGCGGCUAUAUGUGUACACAAAUCUCAGGCAAUUGUGCUUAAUGAGAUUGAAAUGUGAAAACAAGUGUCAUUGGAAUACAUCACUAAGGUGCCAAGUUACAAAUAUACUGGGAAAGACAGAGCUUAAGUAUUUGUGGAAGUGAUGCAGAUCACGAAGUGCUUCAGCAGGGGAAACCUGGUGUGCUGGGAUGAGAAGAAAGAGAAGAUACUCACAGUCUUGCCAGUGUAAGGUCAAGCUAAGGUAGGGAAACAGACCCACAUCUGACAGGUAUAAGGCGCUGCUAUCUUUCACAGUGUGCACAUAACAUGAGACGUACACUAGGUAUAUG